UAAGUAAGUCAGAUAGUCGCAAGCACAGAAUCGAAAGGUUGUGUUUGAGGAACGUCCGAGCUUCAUAGAGCAGAGUGCUGGAUAACACCCAGUGGAGGCGACUCUAAGGAAAGUGCAACAGAAAUAAACCACCUACAUUAUGUAGGAAAGGAUGGAAAGGCGAGGUAAGAGCUCACCGUCUUCCUAGUGAUAAGAGGAGCAAUGUAAACCCCACCUGAAGCACUCCCUCUCUGUUGCUUUCUUCAAGUCUUUCUUUGUGUCUUUUUCUUUAUCUAUCUUUGCUUUCUUUGAUA
rnacentral:RNase_P_RNA from 1 species